AGAAUCAACGCUGACGGCGUGCCUAACACAUGCAAGUCGAACGCGAAAGUCCCGCAAGGGAUGAGUAGAGUGGCAAACGGGUGAGUAACACGUGGGUGACCUGCCCUCGAGCGGGGGAUAACGUCCCGAAAGGGACGCUAAUACCGCAUGACAUCCUGCCUUUGAACAGGCGGAGAUCAAAGCUGGGGAUCGCAAGACCUAGCACUCGAAGAGGGGCCCGCGCCUGAUUAGCUAGUUGGUGAGGUAACGGCUCACCAAGGCGACGAUCAGUA
rnacentral:rRNA from 1 species